AUUGAACGCUGGCGGCAGGCCUAACACAUGCAAGUCGAACGGUAACAGAAAGCAGCUUGCUGCUUUGCUGACGAGUGGCGGACGGGUGAGUAAUGUCUGGGAAACUGCCUGAUGGAGGGGGAUAACUACUGGAAACGGUAGCUAAUACCGCGUAACGUCGCAAGACCAAAGAGGGGGACCUUCGGGCCUCUUGCCAUCGGAUGUGCCCAGAUGGGAUUAGCUUGUUGGUGGGGUAACGGCUCACCAAGGCGACGAUCCCUAGCUGGUCUGAGAGGAUGACCAGCCACACUGGAACUGAGACACGGUCCAGACUCCUACGGGAGGCAGCAGUGGGGAAUAUUGCACAAUGGGCGCAAGCCUGAUGCAGCCAUGCCGCGUGUAUGAAGAAGGCCUUCGGGUUGUAAAGUACUUUCAGCGGGGAGGAAGGGAGUAAAGUUAAUACCUUUGCUCAUUGACGUUACCCGCAGAAGAAGCACCGGCUAACUCCGUG
rnacentral:rRNA from 1 species